CGGACGGGUGAGUAAUGUCUGGGAAACUGCCUGAUGGAGGGGGAUAACUACUGGAAACGGUAGCUAAUACCGCAUAACGUCGCAAGACCAAAGAGGGGGACCUUCGGGCCUCUUGCCAUCGGAUAUGCCCAGAUGGGAUUAGCUAGUAGGUGGGGUAACGGCUCACCUAGGCGACGAUCCCUAGCUGGUCUGAGAGGAUGACCAGCCACACUGGAACUGAGACACGGUCCAG
rnacentral:rRNA from 1 species